UACGUAGGUGGCAAGCGUUGUCCGGAUUUAUUGGGUUUAAAGGGUGCGUAGGCGGCCCUGUAAGUCAGUGCUGAAAUAUCCCAGCUUAACUGGGAGGGUGGCAUUGAUACUGCGGGGCUAGAGUACAGAUGAGGUAGGCAGAAUUGACGGUGUAGCGGUGAAAUGCUUAGAUAUCGUCAAGAACACCUAUAGCGAAGGCAGCUUACUAGGCUGUAACUGACGCUGAGGCACGAAAGUGUGGGGAUCAAACAGG
rnacentral:rRNA from 1 species